CUAGUAACGGCGAKUGAAGCGGGAAGAGCUCAAGCUUAAAAUCUCCGUGCAAGUUUUGCGCGGCGAAUUGUAGUCUAUAGAGGCGUGGUCAGCGUGGGCGCUUGGGGCAAGUUCCUUGGAAGAGGACAGCAUGGAGGGUGAUACUCCCGUUCAUCCCUGAGUGGCUCGUGCGUACGACCCGUGUUCUUUGAGUCGCGUUGUUUGGGAAUGCAGCGCAAAGUAGGUGGUAAAUUCCAUCUAAAGCUAAAUAUUGGUGCGAGACCGAUAGCGAACAAGUACCGUGAGGGAAAGAUGAAAAGAACUUUGAAAAGAGAGUUAAAGAGUACCUGAAACUGCUGAAAGGGAACCGAAUCGUUUCCAGUGUCUAUAAUCCGUGGCAUAUUUCAUUGGCGAGUGUGCGCGUGCGUGUGCUGUGGCAGCGGCCUUUUUGGCUGCGCUCGGUGCGUGUGCUGUGUGUGCUUGCUGGUGCCCUGUGCUGCGGUGGGACGUCAAGGUCAGUUCGUAUGCUGCGGGAAAUGGCUGCCGAGGAGGUAGGGCUUACGCUCCGCGUUUGUCUGUUAUAUCUUGGUGGACGAGUCNUCGCGGUUGGGACUGAGGUGCCUACAACGUGCUUUUGAGUGGGUCUGUGUCUCCGUGUGCGCCGUGUGCGGAUAGCUUGCUAUGCGUGUGUGGUUGUGUGUGGAUUGAUGCSGGCCUUAACUUGUCGCCGUUCGGGACGUUGAC
rnacentral:rRNA from 1 species